rnacentral:rRNA from 1 species
UCGUGGAGUGAUCUGUCUGCUUAAUUGCGUAUCAUAAAAAGAGACCUAGUAUACGCGUAAGAUAUCGUUUACGGUUCGUGACCCCCUUCGGGCGUGUGUCGCACGUACGUAUCAUACGCACUGGUCUCCGAUAGCAACGAACGUGACCGUACUCUAUUGUUGCAGCGAAUGUAUGCAUCUUCGGGUGUAUCUACCGCUGCUUAGCAUAUUUCAUGCCUCGUGCGUGUGUAUGCAUUAAACUAUAGAGACCGCUGUAUUUUUUUUAAACCAGAGGAAGGAUACGGCAAUAACA